GAGAUGUUGGGUUAAGUCCCGCAACGAGCGCAACCCUCGUUCUAUGUUGCCAGCACGUCAUGGUGGGGACUCAUAGGAGACUGCCGGGGUCAACUCGGAGGAAGGUGGGGAUGACGUCAAAUCAUCAUGCCCCUUAUGUCUUGGGCUUCACGCAUGCUACAAUGGCCGGUACAAAGGGCUGCGAUACCGCGAGGUGGAGCGAAUC
rnacentral:rRNA from 17 species